UUGGCCUACUGUAUAGCUCGUAAAUGGAAUCCGCAUUCUCGUUUAACCUCCCUACAUUCUUCAAACAAUCUAUCUCCUCUGGAUCCACUAGCAAAGUCUUUUCCUUUUCUUUCCAUCCUAUCAGCUGCACAAACCACAUUGUUCACCAUGUAUACUCACUUUCAUUACUUGAAAAAUCAAUUCAGGCUUUUUACGCAUCUUAUAGGAGGAAGAGUAGAACUGUAGAAGAAACUCAGGUCUAACCUUUGGAGAACCUUCAAGAGCAUUGGUGCAGUAAAGUCUAGCAUUGUCAACUAUGUUGCAAUAGGUAAGAAAUGCAUCGGCAAACCUCUUGUGAGAUCUCAGCUGAGAUCUCACUCUAACUGCUCUUCUACACAUUAUUGCUCUCCUGCAUAUUUAUAAUAACCAUAUAUGUUACGAACACACAUUCAAAGUAUAUUCCGAAGUGCACUUGGAACAUUCUCACCUAAUGCCUCGAAUCACUGCUAAAUAUGCAUCGCACACAACUCCAACUAACUCUAUCCUGUAUGGCUUUCUCUCUCGUCCAUCUUCUUGCAGCUGUUGUCUUUCGCCUAUGCGUUCCCAGUAGUUCUCUAUGACUUCUCCAUCCUCACCAACCUUGUAGCCGGCUCCCAUUCUGUAACGAUGGCGAUGCACAUUCCUUGCCAUGGUUAUGGUCUGAACCACAAAUGGUACCCAGGAGAGUGUUCCGUCCAUUAUCACAUCUCGCCCUUCGUUGAGAGCUGUAACGAGCAGUGAUGAUGCUGCAUCUGUUGAUGAUUGGUGAACCUGUUUUAAUGCCAUUUCACCGUCAAAGUUUCGCAAAUAUCUUCUUGGAUACUGUCAUAUUGAGUAUAAAAAAGGAAAUAAAAUGCUUAUAGUAUAUGAUUCUAUCUAUGUGUGUCCUGAGUAUAUGAUAGAGAAAUUGAAGAAUAUGUUCUUUGCUACUUUACUUAUGUACAUUUCCAUAUCUGGAAGACUUGAUUUGUUUCCUUGCACAUUUUGUCCCACCGCAGGUUCUUACUUAAAAGGAUUCUUAUUGCACCUAUAAAGAAACAAAGAACCUUACGAAUUCAGCAGUCUUGAUCAUAUCAACAUGGCCUCUGGAGCUUAAAGCUCUGUAUAUCACAUCAGAUUCUUUGAAAGCAUCUGCUUCGAUCACCACAGCAUCAGCUCCUGCCCAAAACGGUCUGAUCCAACGCACACAAGUAAGUACAGGUCAAUGAAUAAGAAACACUGAUAAAUGAUAAGUAUCUUGAUGUAGAUUUGAAUCAUUACUUACUCUUUGAGAAUGUCUUUAAGCACAGUGCUCUUUCCUGCACCCAUACCACCACCCAUAAGAAGUAAAACCGGGCUUCGGUCCUUGUGUGCAACUGGAGCCAUAACUUCUGUACACUCUGAAUCAUCAACGGAUGCUAUCCCCAUUGCUUUCAUUUCCUCUACCAAUGUGUUAAAGACUCUUGCCACUUUUAGAUUUUUAGUCACCCUCUCAAACCUCUGUUCCCUAUAUGCCAACCAAGGAACAAUCACACUUAGGAAAGAUCACUAAAAUAUAACACAAUCCAAAUUGAUUUUUAUUUUUCUGACCCACCUCGUAGCUGCCAUGACAAUAUGCUUGAGCUUCUUUUUAGGCUCUACAUCGGCGCUAAGUAUCUGAAAAAAAAUCCAUGAAAUGUUUUUGGUAUAUGAUCAAUUAUGAUGUUAACAAAGAAAUGAUACUAAAAGACUUUUGAUUUUGUUUCUCUGCAGUAACCUGACUAAUCAUGAGAUCUGCAUGGCUCCAGUGGUAAGCAAAAUAACUGAGAAUACAUCUCUCAAACUCCU
rnacentral:lncRNA from 1 species